GCAUAUCAAUAAGCGGAGGAAAAGAAACCAACAGGGAUUGCCUCAGUAACGGCGAAGUGAAGCGGCAACAGCUCAAAUUUGAAAUCUGGAGCCUUCGGCUUCCGAGUUGUAAUUUGAAGAAGGAUGUUUCGGUGCGACCUGGGCCUAAGUUCCUUGGAACAGGACGUCAUGGAGGGUGAGAAUCCCGUACAUGGCUGCAGGUUUGCUUCUAUGUGAAACUCCUUCGAAGAGUCGAGUUGUUUGGGAAUGCAGCUCAAAAUGGGUGGUAUAUUUCAUCUAAAGCUAAAUAUUGGCGGGAGACCGAUAGCGCACAAGUAGAGUGAUCGAAAGAUGAAAAGCACUUUGAAAAGAGAGUUAAACAGUACGUGAAAUUGUUGAAAGGGAAGCGCUUGCAAUCAGACUCGCCUUCAGUUGAUCAGCCUUCCUUCUGGUUGGUGCACUCUGCUGUUGGCGGGCCAGCAUCAGUUGGGGCGGUGGGAUAAAGGCGGCAGGAAUGUGGCUCGCUUCGGUGAGUGUUAUAGCCUGCUGUGUCAUGCCACCAGUCCCGACUGAGGUCCGCGGUUCGCCUAGGAUGCUGGCUUAAUGGUUGUAAGCGACCCGUCUUGAAACACGGACCAAGGAGUCUAACAUCUAUGCGAGUCUUUGGGUGUAAAACCCAUGGGCGAAAUGAAAGUGAACGGAGGUGGGAGUCCUCACGGAUGCACCAUCGACCGAUCCUGAUGUUCUCGGAUGGAUUUGAGUAGGAGCAUAGCUGUUGGGACCCGAAAGAUGGUGAACUAUGCCUGAAUAGGGUGAAGCCAGAGGAAACUCUGGUGGAGGCUCGCAGCGGUUCUGACGUGCAAAUCGAUCGUCAAAUUUGGGUAUAGGGGGCGAAAGACUAAUCGAACCAUCUAGUAGCUGGUUCCUGC
rnacentral:rRNA from 1 species